GGCGCAGGCGGUUAGGUCAGUCUGGAGUGAAAUCCCGGGGCUCAACCUCGGAUUGUCUUUGGAUACUGCCUAGCUCGAGUACGGGAGAGGAGAGCGGAAUUCCUGGUGUAGCGGUGAAAUGCGUAGAUAUCAGGAGGAACACCGGUGGCGAAAGCGGCUCUCUGGCCCGAUACUGACGCUCAUGCCCGAAAGCGUGGGGAGCAAACG
rnacentral:rRNA from 1 species